rnacentral:rRNA from 1 species
UACGUAGGGGGCAAGCGUUGUCCGGAUUUAUUGGGCGUAAAGAGCGUGUAGGCGGCCAGGCAAGUCCGUUGUGAAAACUAGAGGCUUAACCUCUAGACGUCGAUGGAAACUGUUUGGCUAGAGUCCGGAAGAGGAGAAUGGAAUUCCUGGUGUAGCGGUGAAAUGCGCAGAUAUCAGGAAGAACACCCGUGGCUAAGGCGGUUCUCUAGUACGGUACUGACGCUGAGACGCGAAAGCGUGGGGAGCGAACAGG